rnacentral:rRNA from 1 species
UGGGGAAUCUUGCGCAAUGGGCGAAAGCCUGACGCAGCAACGCCGCGUGCGGGAUGAAGGCCUUCGGGUUGUAAACCGCUUUCAGUGGGGACGAACCAAGACGGUACCCACAGAAGAAGCCCCGGCCAACUACGUGCCAGCAGCCGCGGUAACACGUAGGGGGCAAGCGUUGUCCGGAUUCAUUGGGCGUAAAGAGCUCGUAGGCGGUUCGAUAAGUCGGGUGUGAAACCUCCAGGCUCAACCUGGAGACGCCACCCGAUACUGUCGUGACUAGAGUCCAGUAGGGGAGCGUGGAAUUCCUGGUGUAGCGGUGAAAUGCGCAGAUAUCAGGAGGAACACCAGCGGCGAAGGCGGCGCUCUGGGCUGGAACUGACGCUGAGGAGCGAAAGCGUGGGGAUCAAACAGGAUUAGAUACCCUCGUAGUCCCUGAGCGGGCUGGCAAGGCGCAU